GCGAGGUCGGAGCCUCCGGGGCGGCUUCCCCCUCGCCUGUUGGCGCGCUCCGCAGGCGGGGCCUCCGGAGCCUGUGUUCCUUAACCCCAUCGCGCCCCGACUGAAGUCAACAGUAACAGACGCUCUGGACCAGGCGGCUCUCUAAACCGGGCACCUGGAGACCCCCCCUCUCACACCCGGACCCUGCCCUCGAGUCCCUCAAGAUCGGUGAGGGGAGACGACACAGACACAAGGCAGACAAUGUAUGACAGCGAGAUAAGAAAGCACGGAAGAGGAAGGGACUGAAGGGAGGAGGCCCUGCUUUGCGGAGGUGAUGGCACUGAGUUGGGUCGUAAGGGAGGCAAUAGGCAUUGGCCAGGAGGAGAGAGAAACGGAUUCCAGGCAGCUGGAAGAACAAAUGCAGAGGUUCGAGGGCAUAAAAACUUCCAGCAGAUUCGAGCCUGGAAGGACGGGAGGCAGAACUGCCCUUGUGGGGAGCAAGGUUUUAGGGUCCAGUUCGUCGCAGAAAAUUUAGGACCUUGAGAGUGAAGGAGUGCAGCUGAUUUCAUCCAGCAAACCCCUGGCCUAGAGGGGAGAAAAGGCUUGCCUGAGAUUGCACAGGAGUGGAUGGCUGAGCUGGCCUGCAACCCAGUAUCAGCAACCCUGACAGGGCUCAACCGAUCACUCUAUUUGGGCGGCCUCUGGAAGAGCAGCAGCAUCUCUUACAGGUACACUUGACAGUGAAUCGUGGGUUUGCAGGGAACUGUGACAAAACUGCCUCCAGCAAGACCCCUGUGCAGAGCUCUGCAGACAGGAUGGUGUGACGAAUGAAAGGAGAGAUUCGCUGGAGCCAUACAAGCCAUGGAGGUGACAGGUUUGUUGAAAUGCAGAUGGGGAUGGGUCACAGGUCUUGGAAAGCUGUAAAUGCCAGUGACACCGCAGGAGAGUGUACCCUGCUCUGCUCUGAAACCACAAUGAGUUGAGCUCAGUACCCCCUGUGCCACUGUCUUUGACCCUCAUUUCCUUUGCACAUGCUAUGUCUGCUGUUUGGAACAUCUUUCCCUCUAGUGGGCCUGGCUCCUACUCAUAGGUCACCUCCUCCAGAAAAACUUUGUUGCACCUGCACUGAGUUAAGCCUUCUCUGACCUCAGCCCCAGCCCAAGCCUAGCCUGUCUAUUGAAGGAGUGGGUGGUGGGUGUUAACAUUAACUAGAAGGUGUGCCCAGGAGAAGGGCAUGGUACCCACUGGAGGCUCAGGGCCAGUUGACGACAGUGAUAAAUUCCCUUUAGGACUGACUGACUUGCAGGUGCCUGGGGACACCAUCAUAGGAGCUUAGGUUGUGCACAUUGAAGGGUAUGUUAUUGCUGUGAGGCACAGAGGCGUUAUUUCUCUCAGUUGGAGAGUCAUAUUGGGAUGAGGGUUUCCUAACCCUUUUCUGACUCACAAAACACUCCUAGGAAAUUUAAAAUAAUUUUGUCAUUUUUCGAUAGUAUAUGAUAAAGAAAUAUUUGAUUUUGGCUAAAAAUAUUUAUUUUUUAUCUUUAGAAUAUGAAAAGUUGGGACUUCCCUGGUAGCGCAGUGGUUAGGAAUCCGCCUGCCAAUGCAGGGGACACAGGUUCGAGCCCUGGUCCAGGAAGAUCCCAUGUGCUGUGGAGCAACUAAGCCCAUGCGCCACGGAGCAACUAAGCCCAUGCGCCACAACUACUGAGCCUGCGCUCUGGAGCCCGCGAGCCACAACUACUGAGUCCAUGCACCACAACUACUGAAGCCGACGCACCUAGAGCCUGUGCUCUGCAACAAGAGAAGCCUCCACAAUGAGAAGUCCCCGCAGCCCAACGAAGAGUAGCCCCCGCUCGCCGCAACUAGAGAAAGCCCACGUGCAGCAAUGAAGACCCAACGCAGCCAAAUAAAUAAAUUUAUAAAAGAAAAAAUAUGAAAAGUUGUAUUAUAAAAUUCGCUUUUUAAAAUUUUAGGUAAUAUUCAUAAUAUAUGAAGGCAAAUUUCUUUUUUUUUAAUUUAUUUUUUAAUUUUUGGCUGCCUUGGGUCUUCAUUGCUGCACGCAGGCUUUCUCUAGUUGCGGCGAGCAUUGCGGUGCACAGGCUUCUCAUUGCGGUGGCUUCUCUUGUUGCAGAGCACAGCCUCCAGGAUCGUGGGCUUCAGUAGUUGCAGCACAUGGGCUCAGUAGUUGUGGCUUGCGGGCUCCAGAGCGCAGGCUCAGUUGCUCCACAGCAUGUGGGUCUUCCCAGACUAGGGCUCGAACCCGUGUCCCCUGCACUGGCAGGCGGAUUCUUAACCACUGCGCCACGAGGGAAGCCCUAAAGACCUACUGUUUUUAGAAUGUAGUUUGAAACUUGCACCUGGGUUAGGCAUCUCCCAGCAGGCAAAGUGAUUAUUUAAAAGCCUAAAUCAGUUCUUGUUACUCUACUUAAAACCCUUCUAAGGCUUUUCAGCAUAUUCAGAGCAAAUCCCUAAACCUUUUCUGUGGCCUUCAAGGCCCUGCUUGGUCUGGCUCCUGCUCACAUGUCUGACCUUACCUCUUUCUACUCUUUGAUAAAACCUUAUUCGCAGCACUGAAAUCACUGCCAAACUCAGUCCUACUGUGGAACCUUUGCCCUGGCUAUUUCCUAUUCCUGGUGCUCUUCCUCCUGAACUUUUAGGGACUGACUCCUGCCCACAAGUCAGAUUUCAGAAGGCCUUCCCUGUUCACCCAAUCUGAAAUAGCUCCCAUCCCAAUUAAUGUCUACAAAUCAUCCAGUUGUUGUUCCUUUCGGAGCACUUAUCACUCUCAGAAAGGAUCAUGUUUCUGUGUUUGUUUUGUUGUGUAUGGCCUAUCUCUCCGAUCAGGCUGGAAGCUUCAGCAGAGCCAGGACCAAGUCAGCCUUGAUCCCAGCUCUGUCUUCAAACACCUAGAACAGGGCCUGGCAUCAACUGACUAGGUGAUCAGUAAAUAUUUACUGCUGUUGCUGUUAUCAAAAAUAUACAAAAACAGGGACUUCCCUGGUGACACAGUGGUUAAGAAUCCACGUGCCAAUGCAGGGGACACGGGUUUGAGCCCUGGUCUGGGAAGAUCCCACAUGCUGCGAAGCAGCUAAGCCCAUGCGCCACAACAACUGAGCCUGCGCUCUAGAGCCCGCGAGCCACAACUACUGAAGCCCGCGUGCCUAGAGCCCAUGCUCUGCAGCAAGACAAGCCACCUCAAUGAGAAGCCCACACACUGCAAUGAAGACCCAAUGCAACCAAAAAUAAAAUUAAAAUAUAUAUAUAUAUAUACACACACACACACACACAUAAACAGCUCUCAUUACUCAGUACUUAGAAGUUUUGAAUUCAAAAUUGUAACCAUUUUUAACUGAAAAAUAAAUCACAUUCCCGUAGCCAAAAAUUCAAAUAGUAUAAGAGUGAGCCUCUUCACUUCACACCUUCAUAUUGGUUAGCAUAGGACAGGCUAUUCAGUGGUCUUUUGGUUAUCUAUUACUUAAUACAACUAUUUCUUAAUAGCUCUCAUGAUUCUGAGUGUUGCCUGAGCUCAGAUGAUUCUUGCUUUGAGUCUCUUACAUGGUCGUAGUCACAACUAGGACUGGAAUCAUAUGAAGACUCAGCCGGGUUGGUCGCUAAUAAUGGCUCACUUAUUUAGCCAGCAGGAGAUGCUGGCUGUUGGCUGGAAGGUGGAUUCGAGCUGAAAACCUGAAAACGAAAGCCCUACAUGUGGCCCCACCACAUAACUUAGGUUUCUCAGAGCACAGUGGCUAGAUUCUGAGAGGAUGCAUCCCAAAACAAGCAUUCCAACAGACAGCAAGAAAGCUACUGGUCUCUUAAGCCUUGACCCCAGAAGCUUACACAGCAUCACUUUCUCUGUAUUCUACUGGCCGAAGCAGUCCCAGUCCAGGCCAGAUUCAAGGACAGAGACCCCAGCUUUCAGUGAAAGGAGCGUCAAAGAAUUUCUGGCCAUCUUUAAUCCACUAUAUGUGGUACCAAAUAAACCUUCAAAUUUCAGUGGCUUAAAACACAAAAAUGUAUGUUUCCCUCACAUUCCAGUGUGGGGUAGACCAUGUGGUGUACUAUUCUCCUUCAACAGUGACUCAGAUCCAAGCUGCUUCCUCCCAGCAUCUCCAUCAUCUCAGAGUUCUUUGAUCCCAACUGUUCGGAUGGGAGAGAGGUUAGGGGUGGGGUGGGGGGGGGGAACAUUCACACUGAUACUUAAUUGCCUUGGACCUGAAGUGACACAUUCUUCUGCCCACCUCCUCGUUGGUGAGAUCACAUCUACUAGGAAGGCUGGAAAAUGUAGUCUCCCGUGUUCCCUGGAAGAGAAAAAUCGGUGUGAACGCAUCAUUAUUGCUGAUACACACCAAUGUCCCAGUCUCCUUCUCUAGAAGUAUCACCAUGAACAAUUUAGUGUGUAUCCUUUCAGAAAUAUUUAUAUAUAUACGAGACUAUAAACACACAUGUAGCAUUUACACGCUGUUCCACAUUUGCUUCUUUAUGUAACUGUAUUUUCAAUGUCUUGCAGAACUUUCCAUAUCAGACUACAUAGAUCUACAUCAUUCCUUUUUUUUUUUUUUUUUAGUUUCACAUCAUCUUUAUUAUUGCUUAAAAAAAAUUAAACAAUGACUAUCAAAAUCUUUUUUUACUUUCAGGAAAUUUGAGGAUUUUUUUUGAAUUUUAGAAUUUUAUUUUUUUAUACAGCAGGUUCUUAUUAGUUAUAUAUUUUAUACAUAUUAGUAUAUAUAUGUCAAUCCCAAUCUCCCAAUUCAUCACACCACCACCACCCCGCCAUGGCUUUCCCCCCUUGGUGUCCAUACAUUUGUUCUCUACAUCUGUGCCUCUGUUUCUGCCCUGCAAACCGGUUCAUCUGUACCAUUUUUCUAGGUUCCACAUAUAUGUGUUAAUAUACAAUAUUUGUUUUUCUCUUUCUGACUUACUUCACUCUGUAUGACAGUCUCUAGAUCCAACCACGUCUCUACAAAUGACCCAAUUUCAUUCCUUUUUAUGGCUGAGUAAUAUUCCAUUGUAUAUGUGUACCACAUCUUCUUUAUCCAUUCGUCUGUCGAUAGGCAUUUAGAUUGCUUCCAUGACCUGGCUAUGUAAAUAGUACUGCAAUGAACAUUGGGGUGCAUGUGUCUUUUUGAAUUAUGGUUUUCUCUGGGUAUAUGCCCAGUAGUGGGAUUGCUAGGUCAUAUGGUAAUUCUAGUUUUAGUUUUUUGUUUGUUUUGUUUUGUUUUGUUUUUGCGAUACGCAGGCCUCUCACUGUUGUGGCCUCUCCCGUUGCAGAGCACAGGCUCCAGACGCACAGGCUCAGUGGCCAUGGCUCAUGGGCAUAGCCACUCCAUGGCACGUGGGAUCUUCCCAGACUGGGGCACGAACCCGUGUCCCCUGCAUCAGCAGGCGGACUCUCAACCACUGCGCCACCAGGGAAGCCCUGAAUGGCUAUAAUUUUAAAAAAGUUGUUUUAAUAGAAAGUAAUACGCAUUGGCAAGGAUGUUAAGAAAUUGGAUGAAUUGGGAGAUAUGGAUGGACAUAUAUACACUAUUGAUACUAUGUAUAAAACAGAUAACUAAUGAGAACCUACUGUAUAGCACAGGAAACUCUACUCAGUGCUCUGUGGUGACCUAAAUGAGAAGGAAAUCCAAAAAAGGGGAUAUAUGUAUACGUAUAGCUGAUUCACUUUGCUGUACAGUAGAAACUAACACAGCAUUGUAAAGCAACUGUACCCAAUAAAGUUAAUUUUUAAAAAAAAAGAAAGAAAGAAAUUGGAACAACCUUUGGACAUUGCUAGUGGGAAUGUAAAAUGGUACAGCUGCUGUGGAAAAGUUUGAUGGUUUCUCAAAAGGUUAAACAUGUAAACUACUGUAUGACCCAGCAAUUCCACUGCUAGAUUUACUGAAGGCAAGGACUCAAAGAGAUAGUUGUAUACCCAUUUCAUAGUAACAUUAUUCAUAAUAGACAAAAGGUGGAGACAAUUGGUGUCCAUCAACAGAUGAAUGGAUAAACAAAAUGUGGUUUAUACCUACAAUGGAAUGUUAUUCAGCCAUAAAAAGGAAUGAAGUUCUGAUACACGCUACAACUUGUAUGAACCUUGAAAACUUACACUACGUGAAAUAAGUCAGAUACCAAAGGACAAAUAUUUUAUGAUUCCACUUAUAUAAAAUAUAUAGAAUACUCAAAUUCGUGGAGACAAUGUAGAUUAGAGGUUACUGGGGCUGUGUAGAGGAAAUAGGUAGUUAUUACAUAAUGUUUACAAAAUUUGUUUGAGAUGAUGAAACAGUUUUGGAAAUAGUGGUGAUGGCUGUGCAACAUUGUGAAUGUAAUUAAUGCCACUGAAUUACUGUACACUUAAAAAUGGUUAAAGUGGUAAUUUUUAUGUUAUAUACACAAAGUAAAAAGAGAAAACAGAUAGAGAGAAUAGUAUACACAAAGUGAAAGGACACUAUAUACAAAGUAAAAAGACACUAUACACAAAGUAAAAAGAGAAGCAGAUAGAGAGAUGGAUGAGGAGAAAAUACUUGCAACAUGUAUAACAAAUUAGUAAAAUCCAGAAGAUAUAAAGAACUUCCACAAGUCAACUAAAGAACAGAAAACCCAAUAUAAAAAUGGGCAGUGACUUUUAUCAGAAGAAGAAAAACAAAUGGUCCACAAAAAAUAAAACUAUGCAAAACUAGUGAAAUGUAAGUCAAAGUAUGACUGAGAGGUGAAGUUUCACUCAUCAGAUUGGUAAAAAUUAAGAAAUUUAUUAAUAUUUAGAGGUGAGGGGAAAUGGAACCAUCAUUCCUGCUGGUGGGAACGUAAACAGGGCUAACCUCUUGGGAAGGCACUUUGGUUAUACUACACACACACACAUUCAAACACACCCUUGGCCCCAGCAGUUGCACUCCAGUAUAUGACAGGCUGAAUGGUUACAUAUAUGGUAUAUCCACAAGGUGGAAUUCAAUGCAAUCCAAAGAAGAAGCUGGAUCUGUGUGUCCUAACAUUGGAAAUAUAUGUCUGAAAUACUUCAUAAUACUUUCUAGACUUCCCUGGAGGUCCAAUGGUUAGGACUCUGCGCUUCCACCACAGGCGGCCCGGGAUUGAUCCCUGGUCAGGGAACUAAGAUCCUGCAAGUCUCGAGGCUCGCCCAAAAAUAAAAUAAAAUAACAGUAAUCAUAAUACUUUUUAAAAUCCAACAGGUUUAUUUUUUGUUUCUAAUGUUUAUGUUUUGUUUCUAAAUGAUGAGAUUAAAUGUUCAGACUGCUGUUUGCAAGCAGUUUUCACAAAUGAUACCGGGGAGAGUGAGCUGGCUUUAUUCUCAGAACAUGAAAAGCCAAAUGAAGUAUGAUCAUCACAUCCACUUUUUUUUUCCUUUUUCUAGCUGUAGCUUUGCAGUCUUAGUGACAUCUGGAUGUGCCGUGUAUACAUUUUGAUUGGAUAAAUGCAAGAAUCUGGCAACAAUCAUCUUUAGCCAAAUUUAUAGGUUUAUUUUUAUGCUUCUCUUUAAAUAGUUGUUUAUGUCUAUAACCAAUGGACCACCAAAGAUUAUAAAUUAAAUAAUACAGAACUAAAAAUUAAACAGUCUAAAAGCAUGAAAUGGUCAAAAUGCUUGGGGUUUGAGGGAAGUGAGUUCAUCUGUAGCUAAAGGGGUCCUGGGACCCCCAACCUUCCCUACACACCACGUGCACGCACUGUUGACUAUUGCAUUAAAGUGAAAACAGUGUUUGGAAUGGGAUGAACUGAAACUACACCUACCAAGGAGAGAAACUUGUGAUUUGGGCAUCAUUCAAUAUGGGCGAAUGUGAACAAUGCUUUGAAAUGGGCAGGAAAGAUGACCUCUUCUCAUUUUCCAAAAAGGCAGAUCAAAGUUAUAUGAAUAAGAGGGAUAGAAACUUCUUUGGUAGAUGAGAUGUGGCAGAGGUGGGGUGGAAUAAAGUGGCAAGAGGGUCCUUCACAAGGAAUUUAAAUCCUCAAGAUGUUGAAGUAUAUUUGGUUUUAGCCGUGUUCAAGAGAAAACCAAGCACAGCCCAAGAGGAAGCUUCUUCCCACAGUACUCACCCUCCCUCUGGGCAGCAGGCAGGCCACAGCUCGACCCUAUGCAAAGCCACCAGGCUCAGCGAAAAUAGGUGGCUAUGAAAUUCCCAAGGCACUAGCAGGGACUAGGGACUGGAUGAGCUGGUGACACAACUGGAAGAGCUUCUAGGGAGGAGACCAUGAGAGAUGAGGGGGAGACAGGUGGGAUCGCCUCUGCAGCCUCCUUUGUAAGGCCCCAGCCAUUAUCGAGGGCUCGGGGGCGGUGGGGGGGGAAGGGGCAGAGUAAUUGAGACCCGCUUUUCACUUACAACCCAUCAUUCCUUCCAACUUUCUAAAGUUUUAGGCUGCUGACCUAUGUGAAAAGCAGCUGAUCCAGUGUGAUGCCGUUUGAGGACAGUGAGUGAAGAGGUACCUGACCCAGGUGAGGAGUGUCCCACCAUCUCAUGGUCAGAGGUGGUCAGUGCCUAGUUCUUACUUGGAACACAGCAGUGAAGAGUGGUUGCCAAAAGAAAAAAAAAAAGAUUCAGUGUUAAAUACACUGAGUUUGGGCUUCCCUGGUGGCGCAGUGGUUAAGAAUCCACCUGCCAAUGCAGGAGACACGGGUUCGAGCCCUGGUCCGGGAAGAUCCCACAUGCCGCGGAGCAACUAAGCCCGUGCGCUACAACUACUGAGCCUACGCUCUGGAGCCCGCGAGCCACAGCUACUGAAGCCCGUGCGCCUAGAGCCUGUGCUCCGCAACAAGAGAAGCCACCGCAAUGAGAAGCCCGCACACCGCAAUGAAGAGCCAACGCAGCCAAAAAUAAAUACAUAAAUGAAUUUCAAAAAAUAAAUAAAUACGCUGAGUUUAAGGAACCAGAAGCAGACAUCCCAGAGGCCAGAGAAAGGCCUAAACCAUAAAUUGGGGAAUCAGCUUAUGGAUGGAAGUGAAUGAGGUCAUCCAAAGAGAGUAUGCAGAGUGAAGAGAGGGCCUGUGAUAGAACCUGAAUGACACCAGUAUUUCAGUGUGUCCUAACCCAAUCAAAGAUCACCAGGGACAAAUCCAUAGUCCAAUGAAGUCAGGUUUAUUGACCCAUUGCUAGGAGGAAGACAACACAUCAGAGGAAAAAUGAGAUGUCCUACCAAACACAAAGGAAUAGAGAGAGUUCUUAUAGGAUUUGAGAGAGAGGUGGAAUUAGGUGAAAUUUAAAUGAGGCAAUAUUUUGAUGGCUCAAAGCAAAGCAGAACUGCGUCUGGACUGCUUAGUGGACUCAAGGUCCUGUUUCCUUGGAAACAAUAAAGUUAAGGCAGAUGUGGAAUAUAUGUUUAGAAAUCCCUUAUCUGAGUCUCUGCACCUGGAUUGUAAAUCCUGUCCUUUUAGUGAUUUAACUCCUCCAGGCAAGAGUUUCAUUCCUACUUAUAUAAUUUCAAACAGCAAAAUUUCUGACAGUCUAUGAUUUUAGAAAACAAAGUUCCUCGGUAAGAAAGAAGUAGUCACUCAAAGGAGGGGGUUGUUAUGACAUUUUAUAGUUGCAGUAUAUCCUUGGGGAAAAUAUUGUUUCUUAUUAAUUUUGCAGCUGGCUUUAUCUGUGCCCGUUAUUCCAGCCUGAUUAACAUCACAGCAGAUUUUUACAGUCUGAACUAAUUUUUAGGUUUUCAAGGGACACACAAUGGAGGUGGAAUCUGCAAAGCCUAAGUGUAGUGAGUAGGCAGUGUGGACAAAAAAGUGUUGCCUGACAAGUCAGUAAACAAAGAAUGCUUCCUGCCAUCCAGCCAUCAGGCACUGCAGGCACCCCUGAACGGUGCACCCUGAGGGGAAUUCUGGAUGGAGAAAAACAGGAUACUAGCCCUAGAUAGUUAAGAUGCAUACCAAAGGAAUAAUUUCAGUGAGCCCAGACUCUUGCAUCUUCCCAUGCAUAGGCACUAAAACAAUUAACUGGAGAUGUCUGGUUUCUUGUGUGUGAUUAGCAGUAAUCUUUGGAUGUUCACUACAUGUUUUUUUCAGGAAAAACUCCUUGCUCCUCCCUUACGUCUUUGGAACAGUCCUUCAGAGCUAUCUGAGAGGCUGCCAUCCCCGGCUGUAGUCCUCAGUAAGGCUGCGAAUAAAACAAAGUUCUCAAAGUUUUAGUCAACAGUAGGAAGAAAACUAAAUUGUUAGGUCUCACAAAGCGGGAAGGUGAUUGUUGGUAUUGAACACUAAGAGGUCUAGUCUAGUAUAGUGUGCCGCUGUCAAAUAUGGUAGCCAUUAGCCAUAGGUGGCUAUUUAAAUGUAAUUAAAAGUAAUUAAUUGAAUUUAAAAAAUAAACUCAGUAGAAGUUUUUCUUCCUCCAUGGCUCUUAGCCUCAUGUCAAAUGUCCAGUAGCCACAGAUUAGACGCUACCCUAUUGGACAAUGCAGCUAUAGAAUAUUUCCAUUAUUAUAAACAGUUCUUUUGAACAGCAGUAAGAGAACUCAGAGUCCCAGGCGACGGUGACGCCUGGGAGUGCAGUCUCCUAAGAGUGAUGGGGGUGGAAGCCCUGUGGGAGGUGCAGACACGUAGUGUGUAGUAUUCUUUCUAAAACUCAGUCCAACAGCGCUACUCUCUCCCUAUGACAGCUAUCGUGUAACUCAUGCGUACCUCGAACCCACAGCCCAGGCUCAGAGAACGAGGCUCCACCACUUCAUCGCGUUUCCCUGCCUGCACAAACUCACUACCGUCCCCACACUCCAUCUCCCCACAUGCCCCAGGCCCUUUUCCCGCGACUCUGGCUCUUGGACUUCUGGGAAAUGUAGUUUUAACAGCGUUCCAACUCGGAAAAGUUCUAGCAGCGAAUUGAGGCUCCCAAGAGGCAGUGCACGGGCCGCCAUAUCUGCCCUGAAGGGCGCCAAAGUCGGCACCCCUACUAAAGUACAGCGGUAACUGAGAUGCUGGAGUCCUGGGAGACCGCGCUGUGCCUCUCCCUGCCAUUCCUUAGGUCUCCGCCGCUCCGGAGUUGUAGAAACGCCUCAACCCAAGCAGAGCAGACAGGGCCCCAGGGAACCAUAGUAACUGGGCGGCCACAACCACUAGGGGACUUGAAGGCAGCGUCCGACGGCGAAGAGCCAGAAGGCCAUUGGGCGGCCCUUUACGCGGAGCGCACGCGCAAAUGCUGGGCCUCAAGGCUUCCGUAAACACCAAAGAGCGCCUGCGCAAACGGAGCGCCUCGGGAUGGACACGAGGGGGCGCCUUAGCAAAGGCUUAGAGAGAUGGAGUCUGGAGGAGUCCCUAUUCCUCAUCCUUCUCCUACCCAACCUGGGCCUAGUGGAGAAAGGCCCUGUUCUGUUGAGAUGACUACCAAAGGCCAGAAACUAAGGAGGAACUGGAGAAUCUUGAAGACAGAAGACAGUGUUGCUGGAGCUGUACAGACCCUGCUUCUCAGGAGAGGGGCCCAGCCCUCCAGGCUCCAAGUGAACCCAGACUGUUUCUUUUCUUCCACGUCAGAAGAGGGAGGCACUGCCUCCAGGUCAAGGAGCAGAGGCUUAGGAAAGAGGCCAUGCCUUGGGGACAGCUGGCAGACGGGGGUUAAGGGGCCUCAGGAGACAAGAACUGAUAGCAGCUGUGGCGUUUAUUGAGUGCUCAUUGCUUGCUGGGCACCGUGCUGAGCUCUCCACGUGCGUGAACUCACUUCGUCCCCGAGGCAAUGGUGUAAGUCCUACUAGCCUACUCAUUCUAGAAAUGGGAGUACUGAGACACAGAGAGGUUAAGUAACUUGUUCUAGAUCACACAGUAAGAGGUUUUAACCCAGACAGCCUGGCUCCAUAGCCCAGGCUCUUAACCAUUGUGGUAGACUGCUGAGCAGGGUAUUUCACCCUGUCUAUUCCUCCUCCUCUUCUGUCCUUCCCUCCCCAUCCUCCAGUCCCUGUACCCUAGAGUCCUGGGAGCUUCUCUCUGGGCCUUGUGGGGUCUUGCUGCCCAGGGUGCUCCCAGGCUUGGGGGAAAGAGACUAACACAGCUCCACUGCAACCCCCCCACCAUGCAGGACUUCACAAUGUACAGAGCCCAUCCACCUGCCCCAGGCCGGUGGAGGGGCAUCUUGAGCACCACCCCUUCGACAGGAAGACAGACCAGAGAGGUGCAGGGCCUUGCCCAAGGUCGGCAGGGCCCAGGGUGGAACCAUGGAGACUCCUCUUUGGGAGGGCCCAGGCCCAGAUGGCCAGCACCCCCUCUGCAGGCUGGGUCCUUCUGCUGAUGAUGUCUUUGGGGCACUGCCGCCUGCA